GAUGAACGCUGGCGGCGUGCCUAAUACAUGCAAGUCGAGCGAACGGACGAGAAGCUUGCUUCUCUGAUGUUAGCGGCGGACGGGUGAGUAACACGUGGAUAACCUACCUAUAAGACUGGGAGAACUUCGGGAAGCCGGAUCUAAUACCGGAUAAUAUUUUGAACCGCAUGGUUCAAAAGUGAAAGACGGUCUUGCUGUCACUUAUAGAUGGUUCCGCGCUGCAUUAGCUAGUUGGUAAGGUAACGGCUUACCAAGGCAACGAUGCAUAGCCGACCUGAGAGGGUGAUCGGCCACACUGGAACUGAGACACGGUCCAGACUCCUACGGGAGGCAGCAGUAGGGAAUCUUCCGCAAUGGGCGAAAGCCUGACGGAGCAACGCCGCGUGAGUGAUGAAGGUCUUCGGAUCGUAAAACUCUGUUAUUAGGGAAGAACAUAUGUGUAAGUAACUGUGCACAUCUUGACGGUACCUAAUCAGAAAGCCACGGCUAACUACGUG
rnacentral:rRNA from 1 species